GACGAACGCUGGCGGCGUGCUUAACACAUGCAAGUCGAACGGUGAUGCUCCAGCUUGCUGGAGUGGAUCAGUGGCGAACGGGUGAGUAACACGUGAGCAACCUGCCCCAGACUCUGGAAUAAGCGCUGGAAACGGCGUCUAAUACUGGAUACGAAACUGGCCCGCAUGGGCAUGGUUUGGAAAGUUUUUCGGUUUGGGAUGGGCUCGCGGCCUAUCAGCUUGUUGGUGAGGUAAUGGCUCACCAAGGCGACGACGGGUAGCCGGCCUGAGAGGGCGACCGGCCACACUGGGACUGAGACACGGCCCAGACUCCUACGGGAGGCAGCAGUGGGGAAUAUUGCACAAUGGGCGAAAGCCUGAUGCAGCGACGCCGCGUGAGGGAUGACGGCCUUCGGGUUGUAAACCUCUUUCAGCAGGGAAGAAGCGAAAGUGACGGUACCUGCAGAAGAGGCACCGGCUAACUACGUG
rnacentral:rRNA from 1 species